GGUGUAGCGCAGUUGGUAGCGCGCUUGGUUCGGGACCAAGAGGCCGUGGGUUCAAAUCCCGUCACU
rnacentral:tRNA from 1 species